CAGGGGCAAAAUAAUCCAAACCGCUGCCCUUUCCCAGAUGCCCGUAGAGGCCAGUGACAUAGAAGCAGCACUACCAGAACGCACAGAGCUCUCUCUGAAACUGAAAAUGGCGUUCGCUUAUCAGAAAGAGGUUUACUUCGUGGCUUAAAUCACUCCAUGUAUGACCAGCAAUGAGAAGGAUGCUGAUUCUCAGAGGCUGGCCGUUUUCUGCUGGUAAAAUGUAAACAAGAACAAGCAGGGUAUCGUGAAUAAUCAGUUUUCACGGAUUCAGACCUUGAAGAGUGAUGAAGAUCCUGAUUGUGCUGUGCGGCUGAUCAAUAUAUAUUUGCUUGAUGUUGAAAGACUUUUAUCAGAAUUGACAAGCCUCAGUGAUUUACCUGAUGUUGAUUUUUCCAAAUUGGCUACACUGGCUUACAGUAUAGAGGAGAAAAGCUCAUUCAUUGGUGCGGAACUUGUGGGAAGUGCAUGUGCUGAUCUCAUUCAGGCUUGCGAACUGAUGCACAAGCGAAAUUUCCUCCGAGCCUUAGGUUGGAUAAAGAAUGAAUUUGCUCAUACCCUAAACAAGCUGGACUCCUUUGUUCAGAUGGAGCGGAGGAUUUUCAGGGUCGAAGGCAGAGAAGUGAAGUAGAGAGAGCUUGUCUGCAGUCAAAUCUCCUCCAAGAGUGAGAGCUUCAUAAGGAUGUUUGCUUUCUUAGAAUAAAAGUCUCAGCUAUAAUUGGCUCAGAUUAGUUUCUGUCUUUAUUACUCUUUAGAGAGAGAAAGAGAGAGAACCCAAGAAGGAAGUGCAGUGCAGUGUACUCUUCUGUUUAUAAAAUAGAGAAGAGUCUUGCCCUUAUUUUA